UUGACCUCGGAUCAGGUAGGAAUACCCSGCUGAACUUUAAGCAUAUCAUUAAGCGGAGGAAAAAGAAAACCAACAGGGAUUGGCCUUAAUAACGGCGAGUGAAGCGGGCAACAGCCUCCAAAUUUGAAAUCUGGCCCUUGGGUCCGAAUUUGUAAUUUUGUAAAGAUGAUUUUGGGUGCGGUAUCUUCCAAGUCCUUGGAACAGGACGCCUUAAAGGUGAAGCCCGAAGGUGGAUGCUAACCCGGAAUCCCUCCACAAUCAGUGUUGGGAUGAA
rnacentral:rRNA from 1 species